UCCCACAAAUCCUAGGGAUCCUAUUAAAAAGCAGAUUCUGAUACAGCUGGUCUGAAGGCAGGGAUAGGUAUUCUGUGUUUCUAACAAGCUGUCUAGGGUUGCUGAU
rnacentral:pre_miRNA from 1 species